rnacentral:rRNA from 1 species
UACGGAGGGUGCGAGCGUUGUCCGGAAUUAUUGGGCGUAAAGAGCUCGUAGGCGGCCUGUCGCGUCUGCUGUGAAAUCCCGGGGCUUAACCCCGGGCGUGCAGUGGAUACGGGCUGGCUGGAGGCAGGCAGGGGAGAACGGAAUUCCCGGUGUAGCGGUGAAAUGCGCAGAUAUCGGGAGGAACACCGGUGGCGAAGGCGGUUCUCUGGGCCUGUACUGACGCUGAGGAGCGAAAGCGUGGGGAGCGAACAGG